UACGAAGGGGGCUAGCGUUGUUCGGAUUUACUGGGCGUAAAGCGCACGUAGGCGGAUCGAUCAGUCAGGGGUGAAAUCCCAGGGCUCAACCCUGGAACUGCCUUUGAUACUGUCGAUCUGGAGUAUGGAAGAGGUGAGUGGAAUUCCGAGUGUAGAGGUGAAAUUCGUAGAUAUUCGGAAGAACACCAGUGGCGAAGGCAGCUCGCUGGGACGGUACUGACGCUGAGGCGCGAAAGCGUGGGGAGCGAACAGG
rnacentral:rRNA from 1 species